rnacentral:rRNA from 1 species
GACGAACGCUGGCGGCGUGCCUAAUACAUGCAAGUCGAACGCACAGUUUAUACCGUAGCUUGCUACACCAUAGACUGUGAGUUGCGAACGGGUGAGUAACGCGUAGGUAACCUGCCUGGUAGCGGGGGAUAACUAUUGGAAACGAUAGCUAAUACCGCAUAAUAUUAAUUAUUGCAUGAUAAUUAAUUGAAAGGUGCAAUUGCACCACUACCAGAUGGACCUGCGUUGUAUUAGCUAGUAGGUGAGGUAACGGCUCACCUAGGCGACGAUACAUAGCCGACCUGAGAGGGUGAUCGGCCACACUGGGACUGAGACACGGCCCAGACUCCUACGGGAGGCAGCAGUAGGGAAUCUUCGGCAAUGGACGAAAGUCUGACCGAGCAACGCCGCGUGAGUGAAGAAGGUUUUCGGAUCGUAAAGCUCUGUUGUAAGAGAAGAACGGGUGUGAGAGUGGAAAGUUCGCACUGUGACGGUAUCUUACCAGAAAGGGACGGCUAACUACGUG